rnacentral:rRNA from 1 species
UACGUAGGGACCGAGCGUUGUCCGGAAUCAUUGGGCGUAAAGAGCGUGUAGGCGGCCACUUAAGUCCUGCGUGAAAUCUUGCGGCUCAACCGCAAGCGGUCGUGGGAAACUGGGUGGCUGGAGUGCGGGAGAGGAGAGUGGAAUUCCUGGUGUAGCGGUGGAAUGCGCAGAUAUCAGGAAGAACACCCGUGGCGAAGGCGGCUCUCUGGAACGCAACUGACGCUGAGACGCGAAAGCGUGGGGAGCAAACAGG